UUAAGGAAUUGAGCUUGGAGCUUAAUUAAAUUAAUUCCCGAAUAAAUUAUUGAGUUUUCAAAGAUGGAAAAUAUUAAAGUUGAGACGCGGAGGGCCGACCGGCGCCGCCCCGCGACGCCAUGGGCUGCCUUAAGAAAAAUCCGCAGAUGGAGUUAAGGAGGAUUUUAAGAAUCCACAUUUUAUUAAGAGAUAAUAGAAUUUCUCCAAGAUAAGUAAAGCGAACAAUUAAGUACUGCCGCACAAUAAAGCCGAGUUAGGAUUUAAGGAAAAAUCCUGUGAGCCGAGACUAAGAUAUAGGUGCUACCCAAUAGCAUGCAUGCUUUUUUUUUCAGAAAAAUAGUUCGAGUACUAAUUAGCGUGUUACGCUAUUUAUUUCUAAAGGAGAAUUUAUACAAGGACAAGUGAGGCCAAACGAGGAAUUUUAAUUGGCGAUAAGCAUACCAGAUUAAACAAUAGGGCGGAGGCGUGUUGAUCAGAGUCGAUGCUACUUAAGUAAAUAAGGUGGAUCUCUCGACGCUUCGUGUCUUCAUACGCGAGGUUGUUCUUUGGACCUUUCCGCUGCAGUUUGUUAAGAGAGUAUAGUGAACUCUCAUCAUCGAAACUCUGAUUCAUUUUGAUGAAAUGUCAUUGUUAUUCAAAUCCUUGUAAUCGAAUACUUGGAUCUUAUCUAUCAUAUUGUUUGACUUUUCAAUGUGCAAGUUCUAUCUUCAUUUCUUCCA